UUCGCAAUGCCCGAAAGGGUGAACGAGCGACGCCGCGUGCGGGAUGAAGGCCUUCGGGUUGUAAACCGCUUUUGCAAGGGAAAAACUUAAUGAUGGUACCUUGCGAAUAAGAGGCUACUAACUCUGUGCCAGCAGUAGCGGUAAUACGGAUAGAGCAAGCGUUGUUCGGAAUCACUGGGCAUAAAGCGCAUGUAGGCGGACUCAAAAGUCAGGUGUGAAAUCCCUCGGCCCACCCGGGGAAUUGCAUUUGAAACUGAAGGGCUCGAGUGAGGGAGGGGAGAGUGGAACUCCUGGUGGAGCGGUGAAAUGCGUAGAUAUCAGGAGGAACGCCGGUGGAGAAGUCGACUCUCUGGACAUCUGCUGACGCUGAGAUGCGAAAGCUAGGGGAGCAAACGGGAUUAGAUACCCCGGUAGUCCUAGCCGUAAACGAUGGGCACUAAGUAGAGGGGUUUU
rnacentral:rRNA from 1 species